rnacentral:lncRNA from 1 species
AACCGCUGAGCCACCCAGGUGUCCCCUCACUUUGGUUUUUAAAACAUGGGGUUUUUAUUUUUUUUAAAAAAAAAUUAUUUACUUAUUCAUGAAAAUAUACAGAGAGGAGAGAGAGAGGCAGAGACACAGGCAGAGGGAGAAGCAGGCUCCAUCCAGGGAGCCCGACAUGGGACUUGAUCCCAUGUCUCCAGGAUCAGGCCCUGGACUGAAGGUGGCACUAAACCACUGAGCCACCAGGGCUGCCGAAAACACGGGGUUUUUAAAGGCGAAUCUUUGCCUCGUCACUGUCUGGCUUAUUGGAUAUGUCUGUUCAUUGCCUCUUCCCCUUGGAACAUUAAAGCAAAGAUUUUGUGUUUUGUGGUUGGUUGUUGCCCAAUCUACAGUACCCAGCACGGUGCCCGGACCUUAACAGUAGUCAAUAAAUACUUCUUUCACGGGCAACCGUGCACAAAAUGUUGUGCCGGUAAGGAGAGGGCUUGUAAACACUGGGUAAACACUGACAGGAAAGUACUUGGUAUGGUAGGCUGUUGAAUCUGCCAUUUUCUUUUUUUUAAAAAAACCUAUGUAUUUUAGCGUGAAAGAAAAUUUUCAGUUAAAAAUUGUGAUGGCAAGUCCUGAAGCAGGACAGGGUGCAUCUGCAGGGCACCUGUUGUUUGCAUGGCGCUCCAUCAUUUGCAAAGUGCCUUCCUGGACGUUGCCACACUGGAUCUUCACAGGGCCUGGGGAUGCGGUGGGUUAGGAUGGUAAGUCAGAGAUUCAGUUACUGCUCAGGGCCGUGCAGAACCGCUAAAGCCGAGAGUCCUGGAUUUCAGUCCCGUGUUCCUUUCCACUGUGUCCUGUUCUGGGUCCCUGGAACAAAGUUUUUGCAUGGUCCCCUGUGGAUAGGGCAGCCCCCAGGUCUCAUCUUCAUGAGAUUAGAUGUUCUGGUAUCUCUGUUUUGUGUGUUCUCUUCUGAAGGUGAGGCAGCAGAUAGAGGAAGAGAAUGUGGAUUUUUGAGGUCUGAUUUGAAGACAGGAUCUGUGGGAAUGGAGGUUGGGAUCUGCUCAGCAGAUGUUUUCAUUGUGUAAAGAGACACAGAGGGCACCUGGGUGGCUCAGUGGUUGAGCAUCCGUCUAUAGCUUAGGUCAUGAUCCUGGGUUCCUGGGAUCCAGGCCCGCCCUCUGCCUAUGUCUCUGCCUCUCUCUGUGUGUCUCUCAUAAAUAAAUAAGUAAAAUCUUAAAAAAAAAAAAAAAAAGGCAUAAGAAGGGCCCUGCUAACCCUGGAAUUGAGUGAGGGCUCCAAAGAUCUAAGCCCUAGGGGCUCCAGAAUGUGGGUUGGCUUCAGCUCCAGGGAGGACAGCCCAGGGAGGGGGUGGUGUGAGCAGUUCCUUUUAGGGCCUGGGUUUGUAAUAUAUGCUGCCUUGAGCUCUGCAGGAACCAGUGGGGAGGAAUAAAGGUGGCCUUUUUCUUCUGAUUGAAAUUCAUGUCAAUAAACACUCAAGGAUCCAUUGCCAAACAAAAGGAGAUUGGGCCUUUGUGUGUGUGGUAUCCCAUCGGGUCCUCGAUAGAGACAAGAAAAACACCUUGUCUGUCUCAGGUGAAGAAAUAGGCAGGGAGCGAUCACAUGGAUUUCUCAAGUUUAUUUCCAUGUUAGGUAGCACAUCUGUGACAAGGAGCAGGACUUGGUGCUCCAAGUCAAGUGCUCCCUGGGAGGGUUCCACCCUCACACAUUGGACAGAUCACCAAGAGUAACAGGAACAAAGAACAUCCUAUCAUGACUAUAAUGCCAUAAUAACCACAGAGGGGAGGUUUCCCAAAGAUUGUUCUCAAGGAAAGGCUGAGAGAGUGCACCCAAAGGAAGGAAAGAGAUUAAAAUGUGCUCACGUGAGGAGGUGGGGACCUUGAUGCCUACUUACGUAUUUGGUGCCGGCUUGUCUCAAUGGCCUCUCGCUUUUUAUGACUCUCUCUCGGUAUCAUUUUACCUUGGCCUCACCAGCUUCAGGCUCUGGUCCACACAGAGCUGAGAGGAGCUCUGAGUAUCGCUGGCAGCCCUGGUGAGAGUGGCUGGGGCUCCCUUACAUGAGCCUGCGGCGUUGUGUUUUGCAGAUGUCAUUCUGGGCACCAGAGACCAGCCUGGAGCAGGCCACUCAGACUGGGGACACAGAAGCAGCACCACUUCUGACUGCAGCAGCGUUGCUAAGUGCAAGACCACACAUCUGUGUGUGUGUGUGUGUGUAAUGCUGCUGGUAAAAAAAAAAAAAAAAAAAA